UACGUAGGGCGCAAGCGUUGUCCGGAAUUAUUGGGCGUAAAGAGCUCGUAGGUGGUUUGUUACGUCUGCUGUGAAAACCUAGGGCUUAACCCUGGGCCUGCAGUGGAUACGGGCAGACUAGAGGUAGGUAGGGGAGAAUGGAAUUCCCGGUGUAGCGGUGAAAUGCGCAGAUAUCGGGAGGAACACCGGUGGCGAAGGCGGUUCUCUGGGCCUUACCUGACACUGAGGAGCAAAAGCGUGGGGAGCGAACAGG
rnacentral:rRNA from 1 species